AUGGAUGUUUGUGGGUGUAUCCAUGUUUUUCCAUCUGCACUGAUGAUUCAUCAAAAAUCUAAUUCUCAACUACCUCUACAGCUCUCUCCCAUGUAUUGAGUUCCCUUGGAAAUGAAUGGAAGUGCCUAUAACAGGAAGGUCUGGGAAAAUGAGAGAGUAAUUGAUUUUGCAUCAAAAAGAAUAAAUGCAACUUUACAUACAAUUGUGAAAAGGACAGCCCCAACCGGCAAUCCAAAGUAACAGACACAUUCAUUUGGUUCUACUACACUUCCCCCACCGUCUGAUUACGUUUACUUCUAUAUACUUCUCUACUUUUCAUAAUAAGUUACAAAAACAAUCAGAAAACUGCUAUUUUCAACUAUGUAAUUUUGGAUAUUUUACUGAUAUCGUCUUUAGUUUUUUACAGAAGUCUUAUCCCAAGAUACGAAGUUCUCUUCUAUAACAAAGAGGGUCAAUAAAAUUGACUUGUCUCGGCAUAUACAAUAUUGUAAACCUGCAGACCCUGUGCAGGGGACAGGAGAGAGGGGCUACACUUAAAUACUACAAUACCACUUCAAGGGGAAAAAAACCAAAAAACCCAAACCUCCUAACACCAAUCUCUCAUAAAAAGAUGAGCCUCACAGUAAGAGAACAGGAAACAAGUUCAAUUGAGCAUCUUGGAACAUAGAUACAAAUCACUUCUGUCUCAUUGCUGUCAUUUGCUCCAGGUUUCUGGUCUAGUAAAUUAAGU